rnacentral:rRNA from 1 species
UACGUAGGGUGCGAGCGUUAAUCGGAAUUACUGGGCGUAAAGCGUGCGCAGGCGGUUAUGUAAGACAGGUGUGAAAUCCCCCGGGCUUAACCUGGGAACUGCAUUUGUGACUGCAUAGCUAGAGUACGGUAGAGGGGGAUGGAAUUCCGCGUGUAGCAGUGAAAUGCGUAGAUAUGCGGAGGAACACCGAUGGCGGAAGGCAAUCCCCUGGACCUGUACUGACGCUCAUGCACGAAAGCGUGGGAGCAAACAGG